ACCUGACUGGUUCAGUUGUUAGAGCAUAUGACCCAUGAUCUCAGUAUUGUGAGUUCAAGCCUCAUGUUGGGUG
rnacentral:tRNA from 1 species